AGCGGCGAACGGCGUAGUAAUGCGCAGGAACGUACCCUCUGGUCGGGGAUAGCCACGGGAAACUGUGGGUAAUACCCGAUAAACUCUGCGGAGCAAAGGUGAGAUUCCGCCGGAGGAGCGGCCUGUGUGAUAUUAGCUAGUUGGUGAGGUAAUGGCUCACCAAGGCGACGAUGUCUAGGGGGUGUGAGAGCAUGGCCCCCACGACCGGAACUGAGAUACUGUCCGGACACCUACGGGUGGCUGCAGUCGAGAAUCUUCCGCAAUGGACGAAAGUCUGACGGAGCGACGCCGCGUGCGGGAUGAAGGCCCUUGGGUUGUAAACCGCUUUCGGAGGGGAUGAAAUCUCCGGGGGUUCUCCCCCGGAGUUGACAGAGCCUCAAAAGAAGCACGGGCUAAGUAUGUGCCAGCAGCCGCGGUAAUACAUACUGUGCGAACGUUAUUCGGAAUCACUGGGCUUAAAGGGUGCGUGGGCGGCGAUGCAAGUCAGGUGUGAAAUGCCGGAGCUCAACUGCGGCAUGGCGCUUGAAACUGCAUUGCUAGAGUAUUCCAGGGGUGUGGGGAACUGCCAGUGGAGCGGUGAAAUGUGUUGAUAUUGGCAGGAACACCGGAGGCGAAAGCGCCACACUGGGGAAUAACUGACGCUGAGGCACGAAAGCCAGGGGAGCGAACGGGAUUAGAUACCCCGGUAGUCCUGGCUGUAAACGAUGAGUACUGAG
rnacentral:rRNA from 1 species